UUAAAAGCUUCCCUGCGACCUUUCUGUAUCACUCUGUCCAAUUUCGCCGGUAAAUUCGGAUUCAUUCCCGGACGCUUCUCUGAAAAAUUAAAUUGAUUCUUUUUAAUUAAAGGAAAAAUGUAAAUUGUGCCGCAAAAAUACUCAAAUUGUGCUUUCUACGCCAAGAAACAAAAGAUAAGUUUUCUUCAUUCGCGACAAGACCAAUUUGUAUUAAGCCGCACCGGUCGGGGUCGAGAAGGAAAAUAAUUAAUAACUUCCGUCCGAGAGUAGGAUUACGUGCCGAUCGCCGUCAACAAGAAGAAGCUUUACUUCAAGGUGGUGCAGGGACCGAGGGAGAACCAGACUGUGAAGACAAUGAUAGUGGCGUUAACGCCGCCGUUAUCCAAGGAUAUGUGAAUAUAUGAAUUAUUCCGUUAGUGGCGGGGAUAAUUCACAUAUUCACAAUUGACAGACUUCUCGAGGUGCCGAGCACCGAGCGCCGAACACCGAAUGGUUCUAAGUUUGUGAAAAUAGUGUUGUAGGGCAUGGUAGUGUAGGUGCCCUACAUCCCUGGCGAAAAUAGAGUGUUUAUUAAAAAUUUAUAAGAUGUUUGCUUAAAGUCGAGGAAAUGUUUUAAUUGAGCUUUAAAACAUUUAUUGAAUUGUUUAGGAAAUAGAAAUUUAAACAUGGAAUUGUUUAUCAAAUGUUACAGUUAUGUUUGAUAGACGUUCUGAAAGUGUUGUGUAAUAUUCGUUAUGUUUAAGAAAUGUUUAAGAGAUAUUAUGCAGUUUUCACGAUAUUAUGCAGAACAUUCCUUAAACAUUAUGAGAACACCACAAAACAUUUCCCGAACGUAUAUCAAACAUAACUGUGAACAUCUCAUGAACAAUUCCAUGUUUAAAUUUCCAUCUCAUAAACAAUUCAUAAUGUGUUUUAAAACUCAAUUAAAACAUCUUCUCAACAUUUAAGCAAACAUCAUAAACAUCUCAUAAACUUUUGAUAAACAUUACUUUCGCUGGGUAUAAUGUUUAUACAGUGUUUUCUUAUUGUUGUUAAGACAUUUGUAAUGACGUUUCCAAGUGUUUGGUGCAAGUUAAGAAUUUGUUCUUAAACUUAAUUUAAUAAACGUUUACAAAACAUA